rnacentral:snRNA from 1 species
UCUGCUGGCUUCAGCAGUACAUACUCAAAUUAGAGUAAUACAGAGAAAAUUAGCAUGGCCUCUCAGCAAGAAUGACAUGCAAAUUCAGAAGCAUUCCGUAUUUCA